GACGUAGGGUGCGAGCGUUGUCCGGAUUUAUUGGGCGUAAAGGGCGCGUAGGCGGCUUGAUGUGUCAAAGGUGAAAUCCCUCGGCUCAACUGAGGAACUGCCUUUGAAACUGUCUGGCUUGAGGCCGGGAGAGGGUAGCGGAAUUCCCAGUGUAGCGGUGAAAUGCGUAGAUACUGGGAGGAACACCGGUGGCGAAGGCGGCUACCUGGACCGGUUCUGACGCUGAUGCGCGAAAGCGUGGGUAGCAAACAGG
rnacentral:rRNA from 1 species